UGCUUGCACCUGGUGGCGAGUGGCGAACGGGUGAGUAAUAUAUCGGGAACGACCUUAUCUGGGGGGAUAACGCAGCGAAAGCUGCGCUAAUACCGCAUACGCCCUGAGGGGGAAAGCGGGGGACCGUAAGGCCUCGCGCGAUUAGAGCGGCCGAUAUCUGAUUAGCUUGUUGGUGGGGUAAAAGCCUACCAAGGCGACGAUCCUUAGCUGUUCUGAGAGGAAGAUCAGCCACACUGGGACUGAGACACGGCCCAGACUCCUACGGGAGGCAGCAGUAAGGAAUAUUGGACAAUGGAGGGAACUCUGAUCCAGCCAUGCCGCGUGAAGGAUGAAGGCGCUCAGCGUUGUAAACUUCUUUUGGAUGGGAACAAUAACUUCUACGUGUAGGAGCUUGAGGGUACCAUCAGAAUAAGCACCGGCUAACUCCGUG
rnacentral:rRNA from 1 species